rnacentral:rRNA from 1 species
AAAUUGAAGAGUUUGAUCAUGGCUCAGAUUGAACGCUGGCGGCAGGCCUAACACAUGCAAGUCGAGCGGAAACGAGUUAUCAGAACCUUCGGGGGACGAUAACGGCGUCGAGCGGCGGACGGGUGAGUAAUGCCUAGGAAAUUGCCCUGAUGUGGGGGAUAACCAUGGAAACGAUGGCUAAUACCGCAUGAUGCCUACGGGCCAAAGA